UCCCUUGUGGCUCAGUGGGUAAAGAAUCUGCCUACAAUGCAGGAGACCUGGGUUCGAUCCCUGGGUUGGGAA
rnacentral:tRNA from 1 species